rnacentral:lncRNA from 1 species
CAAUAUCUACACUGAGGAGCCAAGUAACUGAAGUAAAAAAUAUUAUGUCCAAAAAUAUUGAUGAAAUUUUGGAAAAUGAAGAAAGAUUGAAUAUCUUCACUGAUAAAACCGAUGAUCUCCAAACAACUGUAAGUGAUGUUCACCUGUCUUGAUAUCCAAACAGUGUCUUAGGACUUGAGACAAAUGGCCAAAAGGAAAUACUGUGGCCAAAAGGAAAUACUCACGAAUACUGUGAGAUAAUCCUAUGUCACCAAACUAUGGCUUUAUCAAAAAAUUAUAGGGUCUCCUGGGUGGUUCAGUUGGUUAAGUGUCCGACUUCAGCUCAGGUCGUGAUCUCAUGGUUUGUGAGUUCGAGCCCCGCGUCGGGCUCUGUGCUGACAGCUUGGAGCCUGGAGCCUGCUUCAGAUUCUGUGUCUCCCUCUCUCUCUGCCCCUCCCCUGCUCAUGCUCUGUCUCUCUCUGUCUCUCAAUAAUAAAUAAAUGUUAACAAAAAUUUAAAAAAAAAUUAUAAGAAUGCAACUAAAGUAUUAAUUAUAAAACAAUGAAAAUUUAAAACCCAUUAAAGUAGGAGGUACUUAUUUGCAUAACAGAUGUAUUUCUUACAUUAAAAAACACACAGAUUAGUCAACAAAUAAAUUUCAAGGGAAAAAAAAGAGGGAGAACUUACCAAAAAAUGGAUUUAGAAGGUGUAUCAUUUCAGUGUGUGGUCUUUAUUUGAAAUUUGAUUCAAACAAACUCUAAACAUGAACAUUUACAACUUCAUGAAUAAGUAGAUAUUUGAAUUCUGAUUGGAUAUUAGAUGACAGUAAGAAAUAUUAUUGGUUUUUAGAUGUAAUAAUGGUAUUAUGGUUAUGUUUUUAAAAAGUCACUACUACUAGAAAUACAUAUUAAAAUAUUUUGAAUGAAUUUAUGUAAUAUCUGAGAUCAGCUUCAGAAUAGUUCAGGAGUGCGGGAGUAGAAUGAGGUAUAAAUGAAACAAAAUUGGCCAUAAGUUGACAAUUGUUAAAACCAGAUGUUGAGUAUAUAGGGUUUCAUUAUACCAUUCUGUCAAUUUUUGUAUGUGUUCAAAAUUUUCUAUUAGAAGAUAGUUUUGGGUGCGCCUAGGGGGCACAGUCCAUUAAGCGUCCGACUCUUAAUGUCAGCUCAGGUCAUGAUCUCACAGUUCAUGAGUUCGAGCCCCACAUCAGGCUCUGCAUUGAUGGCAUGGAGCCUGCUUCUGAUUCUGUGUCUCCCUCUCUCUCUGUCCCUCCCCCAUUUGCACUCUCUCCUUCUCAAAAAUAAAUUUUAAAAAAAACAUUAAAAAUUUUAAAAAAGAAAUUAGACUAUGAUUAAAGUCCCUGUGUACCUUUCCCAAGCCCAUUCCCCUUCCACACCAGAACCACUAUCAUGAAUUUGAUAUGAAUCAUUUGUAUGCUUGAGUCCUGAUUUGUAUCUGUAGGUAUAUAUGUAUCUACAUUCUUAGUUUGCAUUUUUAACUUUAUGUUUGUGACAUUAUAAUGUACAUAUAAUGAACUAAAACAUAAGAUUUUAGUUCAACAUUAUGUUUAUGAACUGUAUUUAUUUGGACACACUUAGCUUUAAUUUAUCAGUUUAACUUCUGACAGCAUAUCAUUACUAUUUAAGUAAACGUAGUUGGGGGCGUCUGAGUGGCUCAGUCGAGUAAGCACUGACUCUUGACUUCGGCUCAGGUUCAUAAUCUCAAGUUCGUGUGUUCAAGCCCCACAUCCAGCUCUGCGCUGACAGUGGACAGCCUGCUUGGGAUUCUCUCUCUGCCCAUCCCCCAUUCUCUCUCUCUCUCUAAAUAAAUAAAAUGUAAAAAACUUAAAACUACAUAAACACAGUAUACUUAUUUUUUCUCCUUUUAAUAAACAUUAAUGUAGAUUCUAACUUUAUUAUGAACAAUACUUCUUUGAACAACCUAUUCAUAUCUCUUGGUACACUUUUGCAAAACUGUUCUUUUUGUUUAUUUAUUUUGAGAGAAAGAGUGCACAUGGGAGGGCCAUAGUGUGGAGCCUGAUGUGGGGCUCCAGCUCACAAGCUAUGAGUCGUGACCUGAGCCAAAACCAAGUGUCAGUCACUCAACUGAUUGAGUCACCUCAAUCAGGUUCCCCUGCAAAACUGUUUCUAAGACAGUGAUCUGUAGAGUUUUUUGGUCAUGCAUACUUAUUUGUAAUUUUACAAAUUUACAAGUGCAUUCUUCAGAAUGCAUUUAGAUAUAUAUCUAAAUUAUAUAUUCUUCUAUAAUAACACUAUAUAAUAUAAAGAAUAUAGGAAAGUAGUAAUUAAAAGAAUGGGAUGAAGAUGAAAUAAAAUAUUAAAUAAUUUGGUUUUUUAAGAAGAUUAAAACUGUUUCUCUCCGAUUAAGAAAAAUAUUAAUAAGAAUGUUUUUAAUAAUAGUAAUUAUAAGUAAAAGUCAGAUCUGAUUAUAAUCAUUAUAUUUUUAUUUCUAAAUAUGGCAGAUGAAAUACUCAAACUAGAAGAGAUAUAUCCUCUUUGCCAUGUUUUUGUUGUUUAUGUUUGCCUUAUUGGUAUAAUUUUUUUAAGUUUAUUUAUUUAUUUAAGUAAUGAACUCACAACCCCAAGAUCAAGAGUUGCACACUCUUCCUACUGAACCAACCAGCACCCCUUUAUUGGUAGAAUUUUUAAGCCACAUGUGUACUUUUUAGUUUAGUUAAAACUAAAUAAUAUUGCCCAUAAAUUCUCUUCCCCAGAUGCAUGUAAAUUAUAGGAAUUGCAAUACACUACAGGUAAAUGGAUAAAGGGGUAGGCAGUGGUCAACUCUUUGUCACUAGGGAAUUUACACUUUACCCCUAAAAAACCUUAAGCAUCCUCAUGUAUCAUUUUACGUACACACUUAGGGAAGGUGUCAGCACCUAUACAUAUGUUGUACAUUAAUACAUGUUCAUUCCCUUCCUAUUUUUUUGAUUAAAAUAAACAAAGAGAAGUUCUAAAAUUAAUUUCCUGCUUUCCAAUGGAGCAUCUCAUGCAACUCCCUGGGAUGCUUGAUCUCAUUGUAGAACCCUCACUCUGCUAUAUAUAGAAAGAGAAAUGAAAUUGCUGGAUCUUAAAAUAUGUGCAUCUUUAAAUUAACUAAAAACUUCAAAAUUCCUUAAGAAGUGUUGUGCCAUUUAUACUUCCAUCAGUAGUAUAUGAGAGUUCUGUUGCCCCACAUUCUUUCUAAUACUUGGGAUUAUGAGAUUAUGAUUUUUAACAAUCUGUAAGGGAAAGAAGAUAACUAUUGUCUUAAUUUGUGUUUUCCUAAUUUUGAAUGACAUUGAACAAUUUUUAUGUUUAUUAACUAUUAGAAUUUGUUCUGUGAACUGCCUGUUGAUAUCCUUUGCCCAUUUUGCUAAUGUGAAUCUUUAUCUUUUAAAAUAAUUUAUAGGAAAUACAUAAAAUACUGAUGUAUAAUAAAGGAUAAAAAAUGGUAUACAAUUCUUAGUUGUUGAUACUUAGUUGUAUAAAGUGUAAAUAUGUUCUCCCAGUAUGUGGCUUGGCUUUCAGCUUUAUGUAAAAUACCUUUUUUAGGAAAGAAGUCUUUAACUUUCAUCUAGACAAAUAUAUCAGUCUUGUCCUUCAUGGUUUAUGCUUUUCUGGGUCUUGUUUAAGAACUCCUUUGAGGCACCUGGGUGGCUCAGUGAGUAUGCAACUCCUGGUUUGGGCUCAGGUCAUGAUCCCAGGGUCCUGGGAUCAAGGCCUGCAUUGGGCUUUACACGGAGUGUGGAGCCUGCUUGAGAUUCUCUCUCUCCCUCUGCCCCUCUCCCCUGCUAGCGCUCUCUCCCUCCCUCUCUCAAAAAAAAAGAACUCCUUCCUUUCCCAAAGUUAUAAAGAUAUUCUUACAUUGUUUCCUAAAAGUUUUAAAUUCUGCUUCUUAAACAUGGAUCUUUAAAACAUCUGGAAUUUUGUUUUUUGCAUAGAGUAUGAUGUAGGAAUCAAAGUUUUAUAAUUUUCUGUACAAAAAAUCAGUUGCCCAAACACCAUUUAUUGAAUAGCACUCAGCCUUUCCAAAUUUGGUUUGUAAUGCCAAUUAUAUAUAUAUUUACAUAUAUAUGUAUAUAUGUAUAUGUAUGUACAUAUAUGUAUAUGUAAAUAUAUAUAUACUCUAUUCUUUUUUCUUUUUAUUUAAUUUAUCUAAGUAAUCUCCAUACCCAAUGUGGGGCUUGAACUCAUGACCACAAGAUCAAGAGCCACAUGCACUUACCAGUAGGCCAGCCAGGUGCCCCUCCCUAUACAUAUUUAAUAUCUAUUAAUCCAUUUCUUUAUCCUUGGACCAGUACUAUACUGUUUUAAUUACUGUGGUUUUAUAAGAAGUCUUAAUAUCUUAUAGUGAAUGGUAUUCUACUUUUUGAAAAUUGUGUUAGCAAGUCUUGCUUUCUCUUUCAGUGAAUUUUAGAAUCUACAUCUUGAGUUACACACACACAUACACACACACACACACACAAUUUUAGGAUGUUAGUUGGAAUUACAUUAAUGUGGGGAGGAUUGACAUCUUUAAAAUAUUGUUUUCACAUCUCUGAAUGUGCUAGGUCUCCAUUUUUCUAGGUCUCUUUCUGACUCUGUUUUUUGAUUAAUAGGAACACAAUCAAUUUUUGCAUACUAAUGUUGUAUCCUAAAUCUUACUGAACUUUCAUGGUAAUAUUAUCUAUGGAUUUCUUUGCAUUUUUACAUAAAAACUUUAUCAUAUACUAAAUAAUGACUAUAUUUUUUCAUCCUUUCCCAUAUAUAUUCAUUUUUUAAUUUUUUUUUAUUUAAGUACCCUCUACACCCCACAUGGGGCUCAAACUCACAACCCCAACAUCAAGAGUUACAUGUUCCACCAAGAGCCAGGCACCCCUCUUUAUUUUUGCUUGUCUUACUAUGUUAUCUAGGAAUGCCAGUAAAAUAUUGACUAGAAAUGGUGAUAUCUGAAAUACUUGUUCCCAAUUUAAAAUGAAUAUUUUUAAUGCUUCCCAAUUAAGUAUUAAAUUUACAUUCAGAUUUUGAUAGAUACUUUUUAACAACUUAUAAAUCUUCCUUUCUAUUCUUUAUUUGCUAAGAAAUUUUAUCAUGACAGGGGGUUGAAUUGUAUCAAAUGCUAUCUUUACAUUAAUUGAGAUAAUGAUUUUUCUUCUUAAACCUGUUAAUAUGAUAAAUUUCACAUUAAAUGUUUCUACGUGUUGUAGGAUUCACUGCUAUAGUUUUACCUUUGUUGCCUCAAAAGACUGACUCUAGCCGUGUAUAAAAACUUAUACUAUAUGCUAUAUGCGGUUGUAUUAACUUUUGUCUUGUGCCUGUGGUUGCUUUAAUUUCCUCAUUCUUAGCCUUUCGAUUAUUUUAAUCAAGUUUUUUGUUUUGUUUUGUUUUGGUCCUUUCAAAGGACCAGGUUCUGCUUUAUUUUCCAUUUCAAAACUUGAUUGAUUUUGAAUCUUUUUGCUUCUAGUCAUUUCCAAGUGCCUGUAUCCACAUGUAAAGUUCUUUUCUGGACAAUAUUCUGAAACCCGGUUAUUUCUUUGCUCCUGCUCCUUGCCCUCAUGCCUCCCUCUCAAUUUAAAGACAACUACUUUGAGGCCAUUAGGCUUGGAUAGGAAGCAUAUUGCACCCUUAACCUCGUCUCCACCACAGGGCAGAAUCUUUUUUUUUUUAAUUGAGGUAAAACUCACAUAAGGUAUAAUUAACAUUUUUAAAGUAUACAAUUCAGUGGCAUUGAAUACAUUCACAGUAUUGUAUAUCCAACACCUUACUAGUUUCAAAACAUUUUUGUCACCCCAAAAAGAAACCUCAUAUCCAUUAAACAAUUAUUCCCCAGGCCCUGGCAACCACGAAUCUACUUUCUGUCUCUAUGGAUUUACCUAUUCUGGCUAUCUCAUAUAAAUAGAAUCAUACAAUCCAGUCUUUUGUGGCUGGCUUCUUUCACUUAGCAUGUUUUUCUAGUUCAUCCAUGUUGUAGCAUAUGUAAUUCAUUCCUUUUUGUGGCUGAGUAAUAUUCCAUUUUAUGGAUACACCCCUAUUUGCUUAUCUAUUAGUCAUCAUUUGGUGGACAUUUGGGUUGUUUCUGCCUUGGCUAUUGUGAAUAAUGCUAUUAACAUCCAUGUACAAAUUUUUGUUUGAAUACUUGAUUUCAAUUCCUUUGUGUGUAUACAUAGGAAUGGAAUUACUACAUCAUGUGGUAAUUCUGUGUUUAACUUUUUGAGGAACCUCCAAACUAUUUUCCACAGUGGUUGAACCCAGUAAUGUAAGAGGGUAGCCACAAGUACCCACCAGUAAUGUAAGAGGGUUCAGAUUUCUCCAUAUCCUCUCCAACACUUGUUAUUUUCCAUUUUUUUAAUUAUAGACAUCCUACUGGGUAUGAACUAGCAUCUCACUUUUUUAACUAGCAUCUCCUUUUGAUUUGCAUUCCCUCAAUGACUAAUGAUGUUGAGCAUCUUUUCGCAUGCCAUUUAUAGAUCUUUGAUGAAAGUCUGUUCAAGUCCUUUUCCCAUUUUUUUUUUAAUAGGUUUGGAGUUUUUCUGUUAUUGAGGGAGGACAGAAUCUUCUUAAUGGGCAUUUGUCAUUAAAGACCUUUUCAAUAUUUCUAUUUCUGGACCAAAAAAACAUAAGCUUAUCUAAUGUUUCAGUGUUCCACAUUUCUUCACCCUAUUCCUUUUUCAUUUCUUCUUGCAAACCAGCCAGUUGGUACCUUGAUAAAUGCAGCCAGUAACAAGAACUCACACCAUUACCAUUCUGUUUUCCAACAUUUUCUUCCAAAGUGAAAGACUCAAUAGGCAAUUUGUUUGCCUUCCAAAUUGUCACAGGCAAUGGUAAAACUAUCCAGUGUUUUAUUCUGAAGAAUAUAGGUCUUUAUCUUUCCAGCCUCUACUACCAGUUUCUUCACUGCCUACCACCUGAUGGUUAAGCCAAUGCCACAUGUUUUAGACUCUUUUAAUAACAUCUCAUCCUACUACCAACUGCAGUAUUAGAGAAACACUAACUGUUGAACUAAAUAAAGGUUUAUUUCUUGGUUGCAUAACAAUUUAAAACAGGUUUUCCGUGGGCAUAAUUUCACAAGGUAAUCCAGGAACCCAAGCUUUUUCCGCUUUGUGACUCUGCCAUUGCCUGGGGCCUUAGAGUCUUUCCAUUUCAGGUGGCAGUUGGUUAAACAUGGAGUGGAAGAAGCAUAUUUGCUUAUAGCCACUUCAGCCCAAAAGUGACACCAUCAUUUCUACUCACGACCUAUUGGUAAGAAUUAGUCUUACAGCUUUGCAUAUGUGCAAGAGGCAGAGAGGGAAACAGCACAGAGGGGGGUGAAGAGCCUGAUAAAUGUGGUCUGUGAUUGGACAGUCUCUUGCCAGCAAUAAUUCUACAUUAUGAGAGGGGAACUAAAGUCUGCAGUGGAUAGCUGGCUGUGUUUAUCACAUCUGCACUAAGGAAAUUCUAAAGGAGGUAUUUUAGGUAGUUGGAAAAUUAUCUCUGAGGAGAAAUCUUUCAGCAAAAAAUUAAAGAGCAAAGAAAGUGGUAAAAGUGUAGGUAACAUAAAAUGAAUAUUUCGUUCAGUACAAGUGGUGAGAGGUGGUUGGAUUCUGUAUACAUUUUGAAGGUGGAACAAAUUGGAGUUGCUGACAGAUUGCAUGUGUGGUGAGAGGGAGUUAAGGAAGACUCCAAAGUUUUGAGCCUAGUUAACAGGAAAGAUGAAAAUUCAAUAUAGUUCCAUGUUCUCCUCAUGGAGCCCAGAGAUUAGCCUGCUGUGCCUGUGGGCAGUGAAAUCCCAAGCCCUGGAUGACAGAAGCCAAUGUCCUCACCCUCCCAAAUCCAGACAAGCUGCACCAGAAGUGCAAUUUCUCACUGUUUGCCUAAGUUUUGGCACCAGGCUGUACUCUGACUUUCUUCCCAAUUCUGCUAUGAAUUUAAGUUUGCUUAUUAUAUUUUAUCUAGCAUUUCUGAGUAGUAAUAGUGGCAGGAGGGUUAUGGGAUUACUUAGUCUACCAUACUGCCAGAUCUAUUAAUUUUUUUAUUAGAUUUUGUCUUUUUUAUGGGGUAAGUGGCAACAUCUAAAUCCCACAAAAAAUAUGGCAAAAAAAGUAAGAGAUUUUAUUUCACUUUACUGCCUUACCUUCCAAACAAAUCCCACUUUUAUGCAUACAUGAUUACAUGAAGAAAAAAAUGACUUCCUCUUUGAGGACAGUUGAGUAGAAGCAGCUCAAUAAAACAUAUUUGAAGUAUUUUACAGUUUUUCUCAGAAUAUUUUUCACACAGAUACCACAUAAUCAUUCUCACAAAAACCUCUAUUUUUUGACUUGCAAAAUUAGUUACCUCUCUUUUCCCCCUUGAUCUUUAUAUAAAAGACUACUGAAUGUCCCUUAAGAAGCUGAUUUGGGGGCACCUGGGUGCCUCAGUCAGUUAAGCUUCCAACUCCUGUCAACUCAGGUCAUGACCUCAUGGUUCUUGACAACGAGCCCUCUCUCCUUCUCCACCCCUGCUCUGCUUGUGCUCACACCUGUGCACAAGUGCUCUCUCUCUCAAAAUAAAUAAGCUUUUUUAAAGGGAAAAAAAAAAAAAAAGCCCAUUUGGCUUUUUAACAAAAAGGCCAGUAAGCUUUCUCUCAGUCUGCCUACAGAUAAAUAUGGGUCAUGGAUUUUAAUUUGACAGAUUAAACAGAUACAUUUAUCUUGGCAUACACUCAAAAUUCCAAUAAAAUUAUAGGUAAAGCAAUAAUUAGGAAUUUUAAUGUAUAAAUUACUAGGACAAAAAACAAGGAAAAGACAACAGGUAACAGAUGGCAACAAUUCUGGAAGCUAGAAAACCAAUUAUGAGUACUUUUUAACCUUUUUAGUAGCAAAAACCUCAAAACCUAAGUUUGUACCAGAAGACAUUAAGAUGCAAACUGAUCCAGGCCAUAGAACUUUGGAAAGAAUCAGAAAUUGGAGAUACAUGGUACUUGUAAAAGUAGACAUGCAAUAGAAGUCUCAAGAGGAGACUAGGUAUAAAGUCUUUAAAAGGAACAUGUUACCUGCAGAGCCUCUUCCCUACAUUUUAGAGCCACAUCACUUCCUCUCCUUACCCCUGACAAAAGGAUAAUAAGUGUUAUUACCUAAAGACAACAGACCAGAGAGGGUCUAAAUUCAGAAACCAUAUGCAGUUGAGGCCAGAGUGACCAGCAUAUUAAAAUCCGAUGGAUCAAGUGAAAAGUUUUAUCCUGAGUAUCUGUAUCUUUGAAUAUGGUGACCAUUCCCCAACCUUCUCUGUCUUCAGAGAAGUAAUAGAAAGUAAUGCAUCCCUGAAACAAGAAUGAAAAGCUAUGUAAAAGCUUAUUCAUAGAACAAAAGAGAUCUUUUGGAAAUUAAAACAAUAGUAAAAAUUUUAAAUUCAGUAGAAUUAUUAUAAUAUAAAGUUGAGAUACUCUCUCAGAAAGGAGAGCAAAAAGAGAAAGAGGAAAGAUAAGACAGCGAAUCAGUCUGAGAUCCAACAUAUGAACAACAGGAGUUUCAGACAAUGAAGAAAUCAAAGGAGAGAAAAUUAGAGGCAUACAAGAAAAAUUCCUAGAACUAAAUAACACGAGUCUCCAGAUUGAAUGAACAAAACAAGGACCAUAGCAGGGCAUGUAGGUAAUAUUGAAAUUGUAGAACAUUAAAAAAGGAAGAGAGAUUUUAAAUGUUUUCAGAGAGAAAAUACAAAGACUUGGCAAUUAGAAUAGCAUCACAUUUCUCAAUAGCAAUAUACGGGUGCUAAAGAAAAAUAGAGGAGUAUUCUACGUUAAGCACUGUUGGGAAUACAGCAGUGAAUGAAACAGACCAAAAUCCCUGCCUUCGCGGAGCUUACAUUCUCAACACACAAUAAAUAAGAUUUACAUAAUGUUAGAUAAGAGAUAAAUACCUUAAACAUGUUAAUUUCUUAUGAUUAUUUUUGAGAGAGACAGAGACAGAGUGCAAAUGGGUUAGGGGCAGAGAGGGAGACACAGAAUCCAAAGCAGGCUCCAGGCUCUGAACUGUCAGCACAGAGCCAGAGGCUCAAACUCACAAACCAUGAGAUCAUGACCGAGCCAGUCAAGACACUUAACUGGCUGAGCCACCUAGGCACCCCAAGAGAUAAAUACUUUAGAGAAAAAUAAUGUAUCGAAGGGAAAUAGGGUUUCUGGGAUGGAGAUGGGGGUAGCGAUUUUAAAUAGGGUUAUAAGGGAUAGUGGCAUUUAAGUAAAAUCAUAAAGUGAAGAUGAGGAAACUGGGGCUCAAAGAGUUAUUAACUUGGUCACAGAGUUAAUAAUUUUAAUUAUUUAUUAAUAAAUUCUAUUAGUUUAUUAAAUAUUUAUUAAACAUUAAUUUAUUAAUAUUAAUAAAAUUACAGCUGAACUCAAUGAGGAAGACACCUGGAACCUUGGUGCAUCAUUUUAUAAAAGCUGUGCAGACUUUGUGAGAUUCUCUGGGGUUGCUCAAAACCAAGCUAAAUCUGUUCUUUUACAUAGCUUUAUUAGGUAUUAAAAGUGUGUCCAUUAAUCCAGAUACAGAAAGAAAACAUUAAAUUUGUGUUUAUUUUUAUUUCAGGCCAAAGAGUCCCAAAAAACAAGAAAGAUUCUCAGAAGGAUAUGGUGGAAACACUUCAGAAAGAUUAUAAUCAUCACCGUGGUAAUUCUCCUCUCAAUCAUCAUCAUUCUUUUAAGUACAAAUGUAAUACCAACCUGACCCUGACCCUUUUUCUCCCCAUCCCCAGCAGUUACCAAUAAAUUGUUGUGUGUAAAUAGAGAGUUCUACAAUCAACAAUUAUGAAAUAGCAUUCUCCAGUGGUAGGAAGACUGAAGGAAGAGGGUUUUGGAAGUUUUUCCUUGUCCUUGUAGUGUGCUUUAUUAAUUUUCGUACCUCUUCCAUUUCUGUAAUGCUGCCAGUUUUUUCCCCACUGCUCCAGCUACUUCCCCAGCCUCUCUGCCCUUUGUUAAGAUUAAAAGCACAAACCCUGGAAUCAGACCACUGAAGUUUAACUCUCCACCCUGCAAGAUACCAUCAGGUGACUUUGGACAAGUUGUUUAACCUGUGUCUGUUUCCUCAUCUGUAAAAGGGAGCUAGUAAUAAUACCACAUAGAAUUAUGUCUACCACAUAGUAAAUGCUAUUUAAGUGUUAACUAUUACUUAACAGGAAGAAAAUGAUUGCAUUUUUGGCAUUAAAUCCCUAAUAUUUUCCUUCUUACUCAGAAGAAAAAUGACUGUGAUCUCAUUAAUUCCCUUAGAAAUAGAAGUCUUGUGGUGCCUGGGCGGCUCAAUUGGUUGAGUGUCCAACUCUUGAUUUUGCUCAGGUCAUAAUCCCAGGGUCAUGGGAUCGAGCCCGACAUUGGACUCUGUACUGAGCAUGGAACCUGCUUAAGAUUCUGUCUCUCCCUCUCUUUGCCCCUCCCUUGCUCUCUCUAAAAUUAAAUACAAAUAAAAAUUAAUGACUCUUCACAUGAGUACACAGUCCAGAAAUAAACAUUCACCUCUUCCACAGAUUCUUUCAUUUGAAAUGACUACUCACACCAUU